GGGUGAGUAAUGUAUCGGAACGUGCCCAGUCGUGGGGGAUAACUGCUCGAAAGAGCAGCUAAUACCGCAUACGACCUGAGGGUGAAAGCGGGGGAUCGCAAGACCUCGCGCGAUUGGAGCGGCCGAUAUCAGAUUAGGUAGUUGGUGAGGUAAAGGCUCACCAAGCCGACGAUCUGUAGCUGGUCUGAGAGGACGACCAGCCACACUGGGACUGAGACACGGCCCAGACUCCUACGGGAGGCAGCAGUGGGGAAUUUUGGACAAUGGGCGCAAGCCUGAUCCAGCCAUGCCGCGUGCGGGAAGAAGGCCUUCGGGUUGUAAACCGCUUUUGUCAGGGAAGAAAAGGUUCUGGCUAAUACCUGGGACUCAUGACGGUACCUGAAGAAUAAGCACCGGCUAACUACGUGCCAGCAGCCGCGGUAAUACGUAGGGUGCAAGCGUUAAUCGGAAUUACUGGGCGUAAAGCGUGCGCAGGCGGUUAUGCAAGACAGAGGUGAAAUCCCCGGGCUCAACCUGGGAACUGCCUUUGUGACUGCAUGGCUAGAGUACGGUAGAGGGGGAUGGAAUUCCGCGUGUAGCAGUGAAAUGCGUAGAUAUGCGGAGGAACACCGAUGGCGAAGGCAAUCCCCUGGACCUGUACUGACGCUCAUGCACGAAAGCGUGGGGAGCAAACAGGAUUAGAUACCCUG
rnacentral:rRNA from 1 species